AUUGAACGCUGGCGGCAUGCCUUACACAUGCGAGUCGAACGGCAGCACGGGUGCUUGCACCUGUUGGCGAGUGGCGAACGGGUGAGUAAUACAUCGGAACAUGUCCUGUAGUUUGGGAUAGCCCGGCGAAAGCCGGAUUAAUACCGCAUACGAUCCACGGCUGAAAGCGGGGGACCUUCGGGCCUCGCCCUAUAGGGUUGGCCGAUGGCUGAUUAGCUAGUUGGUGGGGUAAAGGCCUACCAAGGCGACGAUCAGUAGCUGGUCUGAGAGGACGACCAGCCACACUGGGACUGAGACACGGUCCAGACUCCUACGGGAGGCAGCAGUGGGGAAUUUUGGACAAUGGGCGAAAGCCUGAUCCAGCAAUGCCGCGUGUGUGAAGAAGGCCUUCGGGUUGUAAAGCACUUUUGUCCGGAAAGAAAUCCUUGGCUCUAAUACAGUCGGGGGAUGACGGUACCGGAAGAAUAAGCACCGGCUAACUACGUG
rnacentral:rRNA from 1 species